GAUGAACGCUGGCGGCGUGCUUAACACAUGCAAGUCGAACGAAGCAUUUAAGACAGAUUACUUCGGUCUGAAGUCUCUUAUGACUGAGUGGCGGACGGGUGAGUAACGCGUGGGUAACCGGCCUCAUACAGGGGGAUAGCAUCUGGAAACGGCUGAUAAUACCGCAUAAGCGCCCAUUACCACAUGGUAUAUUGUGAAAAACUCCGGUGGUAUGAGAUGGACCCGCGUCUGAUUAGCUUGUUGGCGGGGUAACGGCCCACCAAGGCGACGAUCAGUAGCCGACAUGAGAGGGUGACCGGCCACAUUGGGACUGAGACACAGCCCAGACUCCUACGGGAGGCAGCAGUGGGGAAUAUUGCACAAUGGAGGAAGCUCUGAUGCAGCGACGCCGCGUGAGUGAAGAAGUAGUUCGCUAUGUAAAGCUCUAUCAGCAAGGAAGAUAGUGACGGUACCUGACUAAGAAGCUCCGGCUAAAUACGUG
rnacentral:rRNA from 1 species